rnacentral:rRNA from 1 species
CAUGCUUAACACGAUGCAAGUCGAACGAGACCUUCGGGUCUAGUGGCGGCACGGGUGCGUAACGCGUGGGAAUCUGCCCUUUGACUACGGAAUAACUCAGAGAAAUUUGUGCUAAUACCGUAUAAUGUCGUAAGACCAAAGAUUUAUCGGCAAAGGAUGAGCCCGCGUAAGAUUAGCUUGUGGUGAGGUAAAGGCUCACCAAGGCGACGAUCUUUAGCUGGUCUGAGAGGAUGAUCAGCCACACUGGGACUGAGACACGGCCCAGACUCCUACGGGAGGCAGCAGUGGGGAAUAUUGGACAAUGGGCGAAAGCCUGAUCCAGCAAUGCCGCGUGAGUGAUGAAGGCCUUAGGGUUGUAAAGCUCUUUUACCAGGGAUGAUAAUGACAGUACCUGGAGAAUAAGCUCCGGCUAACUCCGUG